CCUACGGGCGGCAGCAGUAGGGAAUAUUGCUCAAUGGGGGAAACCCUGAAGCAGCAACGCCGCGUGGAGGUUGAAGGUUUUUGGAUUGUAAACUCCUUUUGUUAGAGAAGAUAAUGACGGUAUCUUACGAAUAAGCACCGGCUAACUCCGUCCCAGCAGCCGCGGUACUACGGAGGAUGCAAGCGUUACUCGGAAUAACUGGGUGUAAAGAGCGCGUAGGCGGGAUAGCAAGUCAGAUGUGAAAUCCUAUGUCUUAACCAUAGAACUGCAUUUGAAACUGUUAUUCUAGAGUAUGGGAGAGGUAGGUGGAAUUCGUGGUGUAGGGGUAAAAUCCGUAGAGAUCAAGAGGAAUACUGAUUGCGAAGGCGACCUGCUAGAACAUAACUGACGCUGAUGCGCGAAAGCGUGGGGAGCAAACAGGAUUAGAUACCCUUGUAGUC
rnacentral:rRNA from 1 species